UGACUUUCACGCAUGAUACCCUCCAGGUUUAAAAACUUUCCCAGCGAUGCACUUCUGUUAGGCUAAACGUUAAUCAACAGUUAAUUUUCAGAUCAUGCCGUUAUUUACGGUAAAUAUCUCGAGAUCAGGCUGCUUUUUAGUGUGACAACCUCAAACUCAGCAAAUAUGUUGAUCAACAACAAUAUCUUCCCCUCUCAUCUUACAAAAGCUAACAACGCUUCUUUAAAAUCUAUCAUUUUUACUAUAACCAUCGAUCAUUCUUCCUCAAAAACCAUACAAGCUUCACCCAUGAACCUACAUUUCGAAUACAUAUCAACUAAAUUACUAGCACAAAUAAUUCAUCACUAAACCCACUUUUCAGUGCAAUACAAUGUAUUUGCUCCCCCAUUCCUACCAACUCAACAACACAACAAGAUUUGCUCCCCCAUUCCUACCAACUGAACAACGCAACAAGCCUGUACGACACUCGAAAACGUAAACUCAUUCCUACCAUCACUUCUUAAAGAGUGAUAACUGCAUCCAUAAAAGCCAAAUUAUGAGAAAGCCCAGAUAUCAAAGCUAUCCGAGAAACCAAGUGUGGUUGAGGCAUUUAGUCGAACACUUGACUACAUAGACUAGAUUGCCACAUUUGCAGUAAAUUGUGAGAAUAUGAUUGCUAAGGAUGUGCAUAGUGACCUUGAGGCCAUUGAUUGGGCGUGAAGUCCGUUGCCAUGCUGGGUUUUUUGGUUUUAGCGUUUCACCAGGAUUUUUUGGUUUUAGCGUUUCAACAGGAAAUCCGUUGCCAUGCUGGGUUUUUUGGUUUUAACGUUUCACCAUAAAGAAAUUAAAAAUGUGAAGUGAGGAAAGAAGAGAGUAAAGAGCGGAUGGGAGAAGAAAAUGGGAGUGGUGUAUAUUAGGCAUGUAAA
rnacentral:lncRNA from 1 species